UACGUAGGCAGCAAGCGUUGUUCGGAGUUACUGGGCGUAAAGGGUGUGUAGGCGGUUGGAUAAGUGUGAUGUGAAAUCUCCCGGCUUAACUGGGAGGGUGCGCUACAAACUGUCUGACUAGAGUGUGGGAUGGGUAAGUGGAAUUCCUGGUGUAGCGGUGAAAUGCGUAGAUAUCAGGAGGAACACCGGUGGUGUAGACGGCUUACUGGACCAUAACUGACGCUGAGACACGAAAGCGUGGGUAGCAAACAGG
rnacentral:rRNA from 1 species